UUAAUUUUCCAUUCCAAACCUUGUGUGUUUUUAUGUUUCUUCUCAGAUUGAUGUCAGCAUUACACCCGGGACGCACGCCUCAGAGGAAGCAGUGAACAAGCAGCUGGCGGACAAAGAGAGAGUGGCAGCAGCGUUGGAGAACUCCUCUCUGCUGGAGGUGGUCAACCAGUGCCUCACCAACAAGAGCACCUGAGCAGCCAAUCAGCUCUGUCCUCUCGUGCUUUCACCGACUCAUCAGCCAAUCGGGUUUGAGGACACUGAGGCAGCAAAUCAAAGUCCAGAUCCUACAGAGUUCAUUCAUUAAUCGGCCAACAGGAAACUCUUUUUGUGAGUGUGUACACCUGAAGGGAGAGCACACUGUUUAUCAUCAUGCAGGAUAUUUUGGACACGGUUUAUACUUUUAUUUGUGGAUUUUGUGGUGUUUUAUAUGAUUAAAUAUGUAUUCUAACAUA